AUUGAACGCUGGCGGCAUGCUUUACACAUGCAAGUCGAACGGUAACAGGUUAAGCUGACGAGUGGCGAACGGGUGAGUAAUGCAUCGGAACGUGCCCGGUCGUGGGGGAUAACGCAGCGAAAGCUGCGCUAAUACCGCAUACGAUCUGAGGAUGAAAGCGGGGGACCGUAAGGCCUCGCGCGAUCGGAGCGGCCGAUGUCAGAUUAGGUAGUUGGUGAGGUAAAGGCUCACCAAGCCAACGAUCUGUAGCUGGUCUGAGAGGACGACCAGCCACACCGGGACUGAGACACGGCCCAGACUCGUACGGGAGGCAGCAGUGGGGAAUUUUGGACAAUGGGCGAAAGCCUGAUCCAGCAAUGCCGCGUGCAGGAAGAAGGCCUUCGGGUUGUAAACUGCUUUUGUACGGAGCGAAAAGGCUCUCUCUAAUACAGGGGGCUCAUGACGGUACCGUAAGAAUAAGCACCGGCUAACUACGUGCCAGCCGCCGCAGUAA
rnacentral:rRNA from 1 species